CUGUCAAGAGACUGCAGAGAGAAGCGUCCUGGGCUUUGAAAUGUCUGUCAUGUUUGGAAAAUAAUGGCCUGAUUUAUUAAUUUCCUGCUUUUAUGUGUCUCCUGCUUGUAUCUGUCUAAAUAAGCUUUUGCACAAGGGACUGGAUGUACUCAGAGCUGCUCUACAGUAACACACGACUCCUCUGCUCUCCCUUUGGGGUAACUAGAUGGUGUAAAUGUUUCUUGUGGCUUGGGGAAGUUUCUCGUGUCAGAGUUCCAUAGUUCAUGAAGAUUACCUUCCUGCCACUCUGCUUCCCAGCCUGCUUCCAAAGGCAAAGAUGUACUUCAGCGAGGUGUGCCAUUUAUUGAUCCUUCUUGGACUGGUAUUUUUCAAUUAGAACAAUAUUGAACCACAACUUAAAUUAUUUCAGCACCCCGUCAGCUUGUCAUGCAGCCACAAGAUGUCAUGAGAAGCUGUGCCUCGUUGCAGGAGGAGUGAGCUUUGUGCUUUGUGAGCCCUCACAAGGGGUCAAGUCGAGCAGUAGUUCUGGAACCAGGUGUUCUGGAAACAUCUCAGUUCUCCAUACAACUAUUGCAGUGUCUCAAUUUCUUCAAUUAACCCUUUCAUAUUAGGGUUAUGCUUGAAACAAGUGGCUAAGUAACUGCUUGAACUGUCUUCUAACAUGCCCUGAAGCAGCAGAUGUAGGAGUGCCUUAAGGUUCCCAAGAUGUAGCAUGCCCUGUAACAUUAAGCACUGUACAACUGAAAGGUUCUCUAUGGUAACCAUGAUUGUGCGUGCUGGAAGAGGACUGGUUUGUGGUUUGGGUUUUGCAGGGGUUUGGUGGUUUUUUUCCGCUCUGAAUUUACUCCAGUAAGAGGAGAAAUGUGCUUCCAGGAACUGGAAAGGACUUUCUCCCAUUAAAUCCAGGAAUGUCCCAGAGUCUGCACUUUUGCUUCUGCUUUUAAAUUCCCAGCUGAAUUUCCUCUUUGAAAGCUACAUAUUAGCUUGAAAAAGCUAUCAAGCAGCAACUUCGCAUAAAGUAAACACUUAAUAUGCUAGUGUGCCCGCAGAGUUCUUGAAAGGUCUCGUGGGAGCAGUAUUGACUCCUGAGUUGUAUCUCGGCGUGAGUCAGGGAAGCUGAGCAAAACAGUGUCACAAAAAGAAACCACAGCUUUCUGGUAGGAGGGAUUAAAAAUCCCUCAGGGUAAGUGUCCAAAAUCAGUUGCAAGACAGUAUUUUUCUGAGAAUCCAAGGCUGUGAGGACCAACAAAUAUUACUCGGUCUACAGAGUUGGACAGAGAAAGACCUUGGUUCAGGCGAGCACAGAAAGUUGGCAGUAUGUGAGAAGUGAGGGAAAGAUUCCAGCUAAUUUGUGUUAAUCCAGUCAUUUGGAUUCUAGACGCAAAAUGGGUCACCAAGGCAAAGUUAAUAAAACAUUAGAAGAGGCCCAGCAGCCUGAAUAAAUACAUGGUGUUCAUCAGCAGUCUCUGGAUAUGGUGUUGAUUCUGUGUUUGAUCAUGUAUUUUCCCCUAAAGAUAUUUAAUUGAACUAAAACUGGUGUGAGACUGA